rnacentral:snRNA from 1 species
GCUUGCUUCGGCAGCAAGUUGGAACGAUACAGAGAAGAUUAGCAUGGCCACUAUGCAAGGAUGACACACAAAUUUGUGAAGUGUUUCAUAUUUUG